UAGAAGGCGGAGCUUUGGGAGGUGCUGAAGUCUCUAGGGUGAAGCCCUCAUGAAUGGGAUUAGUGCCUUACAAAAGGGCCUUCGCAGAGCCCCCUCCCCUUCCUGCCGUGUCAGGAUCCGAUCAGAUGCCUGCCACCUGGAAGAAGGCCUUCGCUGACCGUGCUGGCGCCUUGAUCUCGAACUCCCAGUCUCCAGAACGAGUGUGACUCCCACUGCGUCAGCUGUUCAGUUGGAGGAAGGCCACUCAAUUAUCCAGCCACAAUAUACAAUGUAAUUGACAAUCAUCCUUGGGCUGAGACAUUUUCUCCUUGGAGACUCCCCUGAUUGAAGUUGGGCUACGUACACAUACUGAAGGUCUCUGGAUUCCCUGGCAACCUAGGAAAUCGAACUCCCUGGCCUUGGGUCACUUAGCCUUGUCCUCAGAGACGAUACCGGACAGAACCGUGAAGGAG